rnacentral:rRNA from 1 species
GUGGGGAAUAUUGGACAAUGGGGGGAACCCUGAUCCAGCCAUGCCGCGUGUGUGAAGAAGGCCUUUUGGUUGUAAAGCACUUUAAGCGAGGAGGAGGCUACCGAGAUUAAUACUCUUGGAUAGUAGACGUUACUCGCAGAAUAAGCACCGGCUAACUCUGUGCCAGCAGCCGCGGUAAUACAGAGGGUGCAAGCGUUAAUCGGAUUUACUGGGCGUAAAGCGCGCGUAGGUGGCCAAUUAAGUCAAAUGGGAAAUCUCCGAGCUUAACUUGGGAAGUGCAUUCGAUACUGGUUGGCUAGAGUAUGGGAGAGGAUGGUAGAAUUCCAGGUGUAGCGGUGAAAUGCGUAGAGAUCUGGAGGAAUACCGAUGGCGAAGGCAGCCAUCUGGCCUAAUACUGACACUGAGGUGCGAAAGCAUGGGGAGCAAACAGGAUUAGAUACCCUUGUAGUCC